rnacentral:lncRNA from 1 species
GUCGAGACGUAUUAAGCGGACAAAAUGACGAAUGGUGCAAAAAAGGCGGCGGCAACGCCAGCGGAAAGGAGAGCGUCGAGACAGGAAGACGGCAAAGAAAUGAAAGAGAUUAAAGACUAUAACAGCUUGAUGGCUGAAAUAAGAAAAGAAUUUAAAAACAAUGAACAGUAUAUAGAGAGGAAAUUACUUGAAGUACAAGAGAAUUUGGAUAAGAGGCUGGAGGGGGUGGUUGGGGAAUUGACGGGAAAGGUUAAAGAGCUAUCGGUAAGAACUAAGGCUCUGGAGGAUUCGGUGAAGAGGGUGCAAAAAGAUACAAAAAACAGUAAGAAGGAGGUGGAUAAGAUAAGAAUAGAUGUUAAAGAGAUAGAAAAGGUGCAGGAUGAGUUGUUGGACAAUAUGGCUAUGACCCAGAUGAGGCAAAAUCAAACUAAUUUGAAACUGAGAGGUAUACCAGAGAUCCCAAACGAGGAUAUUAGAUCUAAAGUGACAAAAGAGCUAGCAAGUUGGCUAGAUAAAAAAGAAGACGAAAUAAACUCGUAUUUGGUAAAUAUUUUUCGAAUAAGGUCAAGAGUGGAUAAAGUUAAAAAGAAAAAACUGCCAGGAGAUGUAAUUGUUAUGUUCAACACGAUGGAAAUAAGAAAUGAAAUUUUGAAACAAAACCACAUCAAAAGGUUAUACAUUGGAGGAAACCCAAUUAUUAUCUUUAAAGAAAUUCCUUCGAGAUUUCUUCGGAGAAGAGAUCCAUACAAAAAGCUAACAAUUCAAUUGAAAAAAAUUGGGAUCUUGUAUAGAUGGGAGUUUCCGGAGGGCAUUUCAUUUUAUUUCAAAGAAAAAAGGUUUAAGUUAAGCACCAGUUUAGAGCUUCAGAAAUUUACGAGGAGAUAUGAGAAGAAACUGGGAAAGAUAGACGUAGAGGAGGAAAGGGAAGAUUAUCAGAGAGACGAGGAAGGUGAAGAGAGUGAGGAAGAAGAUAGAGAAGAGAGUACAACAGGAGAAAGGGAAGAAGAAGAGAAGGAGGACGAGGAACAGUAGUUACCACUUAGUUCAGACAAAUUAGACAGACUAACAGUAAUAGAUGGUUUUAAAAGCGAUAAGUUGGAACGUGAAUGGUUUGAAUAAUAAAAAUAAGAGGAAUCAGAUUGCACAUGUAUUAAUGAAAAAGAACUGGGAUUUAAUUUGUCUUCAAGAGACGCACGUAAUAGGCAAACAUAAGAGGGUACUAAGUAAUAAAAGAUUGGGAGUGGACUUCGUGACCUCUGAUAAAGUUAAGAAAAGAGGGGUUGUAAUAUAUAUAAAAGAAAAAUACGAGCCGCAACUACUGUAU